UCGCGGCUUAUCACCGGCAGUCCCCUUAGAGUGCUCAACUUAAUGUGGCAACUAAUGGCAAGGGUUGCGCUCGUUGCGGGACUUAACCCAACAUCUCACGACACGAGCUGACGACAGCCAUGCAGCACCUGUGUCCAGGUUCCCUUUCGGGCACACUCACAUCUCUGGCGACUUCCUGACAUGUCAAGGGUAGGUAAGGUUUUUCGCGUUGCAUCGAAUUAAUCCACAUCAUCCACCGCUUGUGCGGGUCCCCGUCAAUUCCUUUGAGUUUUAAUCUUGCGACCGUACUCCCCAGGCGGUCGACUUCACGCGUUAGCUGCGUUACCGAAGGAGUUACCCUCCGACAGCUAGUCGACAUCGUUUACGGCGUGGACUAC
rnacentral:misc_RNA from 1 species